AUGUGGAGAUUUUACAAUCGACACUGUAAAAGUACAACUCUGCCAUCUAGCCUAAAUACAAAGACAUUACACUUAGAAUUGUUUACAAAAUCUGAAGGACUGCGGGUUGUCUCUCCAAACAUCACAUUACACCCUGUGUGGGAAGGUGUAAUCGGGGCCUCACCUGUCAGACUCCUCUGCACCCUAAGUGGCUUCUUUCCAGACCAACUGAGUGUGAUGUGGCAACGGGACAACCAAUCUCUAAACAUUGUGCAAACCCAAAGGAAGCUGCAGAGUGUGAAGGGAGUGGAGAAAACCUUCAGUCUAAGCAGUGAGAUUGAGCCAAAUAUGAAACAGUGGACAGGUGGCUCAAAUUUUACAUGCAGGUCCACUCAUAUCAAUAGUGAAUUUCAAAAAACAAUAAGUAUUUGUCAAACACAGACAAGCGCCCCUCCUUCCGUUCAUGUGGAGAUUCCCAGCUUCAAGACAGUAAUGGAGUCAACGUCUGAUGUGACGGCAACAUGUUCAAUCCACAAAGUGUUUGAAGCAAUGGUGACCUGGCUGAUGGAUGGGCAACCCGCAUCCAGUAACCAAGUGAACCAGGUCACAAAUACAACUUAUUUAAUAAGCACUCUGACGGUUUCCUCGAGUCGGUGGAAACAACUGAAGCUUCUGAAAUGUAAAGUUGAACAUCGCUGCUUCUCAUCCUCUGAGGAGACAAUAAAUGUUGCAGCGCCCGCAGUUACAGCUCCAUCAGUGGAGAUCAGGAGAUCUCUCCCAGAUUUGCUGAAGGGAAACAGUUCUGUGCUGGAGUGUGACGUCACACAACUCUCCUCCAGUGACCUCUACAUCACCUUUCAGGCCAACAGUGUUGACAUCUCUGACAAACAGUAUGUUGAUCUUCCUGAAGCCCCAGGCCUCCAUUCAGUCAGUAGACGCUUCACUGUCCCUCCAAACUACUGGAAGAGAGACACAAGUUUCACCUGCAAAGUGAAUCAAGGUUUCUCCAGCAGCUUCAAGUCAAACCCCACUGGCAAUAUUUUUGUGGACCCAUCAGUGGAGCUCCUUCAGGUCCCCAAUAAAGAGUCAGGACCACAGAGGAUCUUGUGCUCUGGAUGGGGCUUCAACCCUCAAAUUAAAUGGUUUCCUGAGUCUCAGCAAGCAUCUCCAUCAACGAAUGACAUCAGCAUGAGUGCAGAUGGACGUGUGGCAGUAACCAGUCAACUUCACAUCCCUCAGACAGAGUGGAAAACAGGGAAGGUCUUCACUUGUUUAGUGUCUGACAAGUCUCUGAGUAAAACAGUUGAAAAGAACAUCAGCAUCUGUUCAGUUUAUUCAAGCGCCCCUCCUUCUGUUCAUGUGGAGGUUCCCAGCUUCAAGACAGUAAUGGAGUCAACAUCUGAUGUGAAGGCAACGUGUUCAGUCCGCACAGUGUUUGAAGCAAAGAUGACCUGGCUGAUGGAUGGGCAACCCCCAUCCAGUAACCAAGUGAACCAGGUCACACAUACAACUCAUUUAAUAAGCACUCUGACGGUUUCCUCGAGUCGGUGGAAACAACUGAAGUUUCUGAAAUGUAAAGUUGAACAUCGCUGCUUCUCAUCCUCUGAGGAAACAAUAAAUGUUGCAGCGCCUGCAGUUACAGCUCCAUCAGUGGAGAUCAGGAGAUCUCUCCCAGAUUUGCUGAAGGGAAACAGUGCUGUGCUGGAGUGUGACGUCACACAACUCUCC